GAUGAACGCUGGCGGCGUGCCUAAUACAUGCAAGUCGAGCGAACAGAUGAGGAGCUUGCUCCUCUGACGUUAGCGGCGGACGGGUGAGUAACACGUGGAUAACCUACCUAUAAGACUGGGAUAACUUCGGGAAACCGGAGCUACUACCGGAUAAUAUAUUGAACCGCAUGGUUCCAUAGUGAAAGACGCUUUUGCUGUCACUUAUAGAUGGAUCCGCGCCGCAUUAGCUAGUUGGUAAGGUAACGGCUUACCAAGGCAACGAUGCGUAGCCGACCUGAGAGGGUGAUCGGCCACACUGGAACUGAGACACGGUCCAGACUCCUACGGGGGGCAGCAGUAGGGAAUCUUCCGCAAUGGACGAAAGCCUGACGGAGCAACGCCGCGUGAGUGAUGAAGGUCUUCGGAUCGUAAAACUCUGUUAUUAGGGAAGAACAAAUGUGGAAGUAACUAUGCACGUCUUGACGGUACCUAAUCAGAAAGCCACGGCUAACUACGUG
rnacentral:rRNA from 1 species